AUUGAACGCUGGCGGCAUGCCUUACACAUGCAAGUCGAACGGCAGCACGGGAGCUUGCUCCUGGUGGCGAGUGGCGAACGGGUGGGUAAUACAUCGGAACGUACCCAGGAGUGGGGGAUAACGUAGCGAAAGUUACGCUAAUACCGCAUAUUCUGUGAGCAGGAAAGCGGGGGAUCGCAAGACCUCGCGCUCUUGGAGGGGCCGAUGUCGGAUUAGCUAGUUGGUGAGGUAAAAGCUAACCAAGGCGACGAUCCGUAGCAGGUCUGAGAGGAUGAUCUGCCACACUGGGACUGAGACACGGCCCAGACUCCUACGGGAGGCAGCAGUGGGGAAUUUUGGACAAUGGGGGCAACCCUGAUCCAGCCAUGCCGCGUGAGUGAAGAAGGCCUUCGGGUUGUAAAGCUCUUUCGGCGGGGAAGAAAUGGCAACGGCUAAUAUCCGUUGUUGAUGACGGUACCCGCAUAAGAAGCACCGGCUAACUACGUGCCAGCCGCCGCAGUAA
rnacentral:rRNA from 1 species